GGGGGAAAGAGACGAGCAUAGGUUCCUCCCAAGAUGCCACCCGCUUCAUUCAAGUGCCUGGCAGCACUGUGUUCCUGUUAGAGCCACCAGCACAAGCACCAGAUGAUGCUGAUCCAGGUGAAGGCCCCAGUGCAGCAGCAACAGCACAUGAUGGAGACGAUGAUGAGGAGGAGACCAUCUCUCUGGAUUCCAGAAGGCAUGAGGACCCAGAUGCUAUACAGUGGGAAAACCAGCCUGGCAACAUAGUGCGUAUUAAUAAAAGGACACCACAUCCUGCCAAAUUCCAGCUGCGCUAAUUGUAUUGUGUUCACAGAGCUCACAAGCUAUCAGAAAGUUGUAUGGCAACCACCUCCGGCGCCAAAUAGAACUGGCAGACAUAGACAUUCAGUACAAGAAGAAAAAGAUGGAAAAUCUUGCACUGGAGACCGAAAUAAAAAAGAGGACAAUUAGGAAACUGGACCUUGAAAUAAAAAAAAACUUGAGAGGGAGGUGAGAUAUGCCUUCAAUGUACACUGUAUGCUAACUGUAACACAAAUGUAUUAAUCAUUAUUUUUCUUUCCUCCCCCAGCUCCAAGAAGAUGACACAGCUCAAAAUAAAAAUUAGGUAUAUUCUCGUAAAGUCAAGUGAGCCAUGACAUAUGAGCUCUUAUUGUGAGCACACAGGACGGUGGCAUCUUUCUAAGUUUUGUAUUUAUUUUCCCAGCAAUCAGUACAACCAAGUCAUCGUUAUAAGGCAUCGCCCUCUUUUGCCCACCCCCAGCACCAGGUGUGGCCACUAGCCUAUAUGAAGGCCCAAAAUUGUGUGUUCCUUUCUGCUCUGACAAUGGCAUGCCCAUUCGUGCGAGAUGUGGUGGAUGAAGAAGCACUUGUGCUGAGGAGAGCCUUCAGGCGAGAAAGGGUCUUCAGGGACCGGUUGGACCCACUGGCCUUCCCUGAUGACCAUCUAUAUGAAAGAUACAGGUUUUCUGCAGAUGGCAUCAGGUAUCUAUGCAGACUACUGGGUCCCAGGAUUAAGCACCGCACUGCACGGAGCCAUGCACUGAGUGUGGAGCAAAUGGUUUGUGUGGCCUUGCGCUUUUUUGCUAGUGGAGCCUUCCUGUACUCAGUGGGGGAUGCAGAACAGCUGAACAAGGCCACAAUUUGCCACACAAUAAGGAGUGUGUGUCUGGCUAUCAAAGCAUUAGCAGAUGUCUUCAUCUCCUUCCCUGGCCACAGAAGACUCUGUGACAUCAAAGAGGAGUUCUAUAGGAUUGCAGAUGGUCUGCAAUGCUGACUGUGUGAUCAGCAAUGUUGUGGCAAAAUGGCCUGGCUCAGUCCAUGACUCCAGAAUCUUUCGGGCCUCUGAAAUCUAUCAGUGCCUAUCACAAGGUGAAUUCUCUGGUGUGUUGCUGGGAGACAGGGGAUAUGGCUGCCAGCCUUUUCUCCUGACACCUUUCACAGACCCCAGGAAGCACAGCAGGCCUACAACCAUGCCCAUGCCAGGACCAGGGCCAGAGUUGAAAUGACCUUUGGCCUCCUGAAGGCACGCUUUCACUGCCUUCACAAAUUAAGGGUCAGCCCUGUUAGGGCAUGUGAUAUUACUGUGGCUUGUGCUGUCCUCCACAAUGUGGCCUGCCUGAGGAAGGAGAGGGCCCCCAGAGUGCCACCAGCCAUGGACUGGGACAAUCCGGCAAUCUUCCCUGAUGACGACAGUGGUCGGCUGCUGAGGGACCAAUAUGUGUUGAAUUAUUUUAGUUAGUAUGUGUGCUUUCAAUUUUGGUUAAAUAUGUCCUGCGGUGGCAGAGGAAUUUGGUUUUUUUUGGGUUCGUAUUUUGACGAAUUUGGCCUCUUAUGAUGUUUGUGCGGUAUACUGUGUGUAAUACAAGGCUGCAGGGAGGCUACUGCAUCCAUUCAUUUGUCUGUUCAGUUGAUGUGUAUGGAUUUGUCCUGCAUUUAUUUUAGUGUGCAGACAUGCAGGGUGUGUUAUAUACAGACCUUUGAAUGUGUAUGUAUCAUUUUGUAUAAUAUGCUUGGAUUCUGUGCUUUCCAUCUUGUAGAGUCACUGUGACUUCAGUUUCGAAAGGAGCUGAUGGUUUACCUGCUUUGUUUUGUCCUUAUUCAAUAAAGGAACAUAAUGUUACACAUUGUGUUUUUAUAUUCA